GUCCCCUUCCGGUGCUGCCGCCGCUCGUCGCACCGCCCCUUCCCGCCAGCGGCGCGCUCGGUUCGAAUCGCGGCGGGAAGGCGGCGGCGCCCGAGGCGGGUAUUGAGACAGAGCAGAUUUGUACUGGGGACAGUUUUUCGGUAGCUCUCCUCAGUUGGGUAUUUAGCAGCGUCUACUGAAUAGUGAAAUGUCCUCAAGGAAGAAAACGAAGAGAAAUAAUUCCAGCAAUAAGUUAAAGGAACACAAAACCAGCUCCCAUCCUCGGAAAUUACCUUCACUGGAGGAACCAGAUGUCUCGAUGAUACAAAAGGUAUCACAAGCAAAUCAACUUGAGGAGCUUGACAAUUCAUUUGAUCACCCUUUGCACAGUACUGCGGUGGAUGCUUAUGGAGAGGAACAUUCACAAAGCGAGUCACUUGACCAGGUUUCAGAACCACGAAGGAAAGAUACAGAAAGAAGUAAAAAAAACCCUCGCUCAAAAACGUCUGAUGGUGAUGUUCGGAAAUUCAGCACAGCUGAUUCUGAGGAUGAAUCCCUUAAGGAGGAUGUGGUACAGAAAAAGUUGCAUGAGUAUCACCAGUCAAUUUAAUUUUAGCUUCCUUCAUGCCAUGCCUGCAUCAGAGGGCCGGGGGAAGAGGAAGACCUUUCAUUCAUUUCUUAGUACUGCCUUAGUACUCAGUGAUACCUGAAAUAAUUAUUCCUCAAAGUAUUCCUGUGGGAUUACCAAGUGAAAUGCUUAAAGCUACAGUCAUCACAUCAACAGGGAAUGUAAUAGCCUGGUGUUCCUGCAUCCAGUAGCCUGUUCUCUUGCUCAUUUGGGACUAUGUUCUUUCAAAUACCUUCUUCAUAUCUGGAAUAUAUAUUAUUAAGGAAUGGCAUGCUAAAUAAAAUAUAAAUCCUUUGUACUUGUUCAGUGUUGAAGUAAAACAGAUUUAUGAGAGAAUUGAAUAUUGAUAAAAUUAAGUUUGGAUAUAUAUUAGAAUGAAACAAAACCCACUCAGUUUUUAAUUGUGUUUUUCCACACUCAGACCACUGUUCAUCUAAAAUGCUUUUAGCCCACUUAGCUUCCAGGCAUAUAGAGGAAGUUAACUGUCUGCAGGCUUGAGAAAGCAGGCCUAUGACAAAAGAAGCUAUGCAGUAGUUUGCUUAAAAGUUCUUUAUGUAUUGAAAUUUCUGGGAAUUGUUGAAAAGUGUGUUCUAAAAUUCAGUACAGGGUGUUAGUCUUUCAUCAGUAAACUGACCUAUGUAGGACUCUGUAGAAGUGCUGUUGGUGUCACAAAAUAGUCAAAGUAGAGAAAGGAUCUGGACAGAAUGUGAGUGAAAAGGAAAGUGAGCAGGUGCUGUUGAUCAGAGAACUGUUAAUACUGGGUGAUGACUGUGCUGAACCGAGGGUCCCUGUGCUCCUUACGAUGUUUCUAGUCCUGCUGCAGGGGUAGUGGCUGACAUGUCAGCUGGCCAACGUGGUUAGGCAGCUGCUGUCCCUCAGCACUGGUCACUGUGCUGUGAUUGUGGUGAAAUAGGCCUAGGUAAAUGUUACUGACCUUUCCUGCCUUCCGCCUAACUGCCAUCUCUCAGAAUCUUAAAUGAGUAAACCUAAGGGUUUUUUUGGAAGUUAAUCUGCUUUUUCUGUCACAGAAGUCUCUGAAUACUACUCAAUUGCAGGCAAAAAAGAAGCGGCCUUCAGAAGAGAACACAUCAGAUCCUUCUGUGGGUAGUCCAUGUUCUGUAAAGGUUUCGUGUCCCAAAGAGAUAAAGAGGUCUCCUGGAGAUAUUACAGAACUGGAUGUUGUUCUGGCUGAAUUUGAGAAGAUAACAGCAAAUUGCAGACAAAGCACAGAAUCAAACAUUUGCAGAAAAGCUAUCAACAGCUUCUGUGCUGCCUUCAAGGACCAAAUCACUGAUCUUAUAGUGGCAGUCCAGGAAUUACAGAAUAUGAAGAAAAAAAAUGCCAAGGUAUUAACAGACAUCAAAAAGAAAAGGCAGCGACUGUUGCAACUCAGAGAAGAACAAUUUGAGUAUGUUUCUAAUGAGGCACGGGAAUAGCCUGACGCACUUAAGAAGUCUGGUAUUUUGUAACCUAGAGAGCUGAGCCACAACUGAUACGCCUACAAAGAGAAUACACUGAGGUACAGGAAAGGCAAUCUGCCUUGAGGCAAGCAACUGAAUUACUUACUGAUUUAAAGGAGCUACAGCAAGACUGUUUGGAUUAUAGAGAAGAAAACCCAAAAGAAAAAGUGGUUUAUGGAACUUCCAGCCUCCCUGCUCUUCUGGUGGAGUCGCGGAGAAUUCUAGGAGCAGAAAGACACUUUCAGAAUAUUAAUAUGAAACUGGAGGAGGCUCUGGCUGCACAAAGAGGGAAGUUACCAGAGAAACAUUAAGUGUUUUUUAAUAGACUUUUUGACACUUGUUAGAAACAAUUAUUAGAAUGGUCAGUGCUUAAAGCUUGUUUAAUCGUUGCUGCCGUGUUUAAAAGAAGUCAGUGACUUAACCAGAGGUUUUAUCUUUCUAUUGUUAAAUAGUCUGUGUGAGAACGUACUCAGAAUGGCAAUGAAAUUAAUGAAACCGGUAUUCCAGUUAUAGUAGUAAAAUGCUUCUGUGCUCUGUGAACAACGUUGGUUUUUAAUCUUGGGCUAUUAAAGUCAUGUGAUCUUGAUUAAAAGCAAUAUAUAUAUAUUAAAGAGAAUACAUAGAUACAAA